rnacentral:rRNA from 1 species
UUACACAGCCAUAUCACCCUGCAGCCCAAGACUGGUUGCCUACUAAAGCUAAGCAGGGUUGAGCCUGGUCAGUACCUGGAUGGGAGACCUCCUGGGAAAACUGUUGGAAGAGGUGUUAG